CACGGGUCUGCACCUUCUGUGGAUACAUAUGCAUAAUGUACACAUUGUUGUUGAUUUUCUUCCCCCUGCCAAGUCGAUGAAGGUUUUGCCGCAGUGCAUAGAUGCAGCAUACACAGUGGGGGUUUUUGCCCUGCUGUUUGUCAUCCUGAUUCUCCAGCUGUACCUCACACAUCUGCCUGUCCUGAAAAGCACUGAAGGAUGAUGCAAAAAGUGAAGCUGUGAAGCAAGAUAAAGGCUGAAGGGGAAGAAGUCUGUGUGUGUGUGUGUGUGUGUGUGUGUGUGUGUGUCCCCGCAUUUUCUGUGUCUGCCUGUGUCUGU